UAUGAACUUAAUCUAGAUUCUAGACUAAUUACCAAAAUCUUCGGGGCUUUAUGAUAGCUCUGCCGAAUGAAGAAUAAGUUGUGUGAAAAAGAGGGGUUUCUUACGUUCGCGUAAAGAAGACGACAGAGGCGUUCAGUAACUCAGUAACUUCCUAGGCGUAGGUGCGACCAGGUCUUCAGCGUAUGUGCCGAAGUCUGCCCGAGAGAGGGAACUUGAUAGAAGAUCAGAUGAUAGCGAUCAGCUUAAAUCGUGGGGAUCGGCAGAUAAUAUACAG